UGCGUUAUCAUCCUUACUGCUUCUGAUCUGUGUACUGCGUUUGUAAAUGAUGUCUGAUUGUUGGAGUGUGCCCGUCUGUCUGUAAAUACAUUUAAAUCAGGAGGUCUGGUUUGCUUAAUAUAAGGAAUUUUAUGUAUAGCAUUUAGUUUUACUUUGUACUUUUACUCAAGUUAAAACAUUUAGUACUUUUUCCACCACUGUACUUUUUACGGGAAAAUGUGCCCUUGCGAUUGGGCCAGUCAGGCAACAGUGAUCCAAUCAGCGGAACAUCUGCCUCUACGAUCACUUUGCUGAGAGAUGUUUGGAGAUUCAGGGCAAGUCAAUCCUUUUGAAGUUCCAGUCUCUGCCCAUGCUGGGAAGUUCUACGACACGUGAGUAUAGCAAGUACCCUUAUUAUCUGUGCUCUGGGUAGAAGCUGCCCUAGGGCUCAAAUCUUAAGCGGGGAUAUGAAAAAUUGACCUGAUAGUGUUUAAGGGCAAAUUCAUC
ensembl:lncRNA